GUUGCUAUCCUACGCAUUUCUCCCGCUCGUUACAGUCGGCGGCAGUCCACGACCGAGUCAAAAGACCUCAUUCAACCAGCCAGACAGGUGUCAACCCGCUUAGAGAAAGACGUUAAGCCGGGAAUACGUGUCGGUAAGCAGCUCUCACUAACUGCCGCUGCUUUAUAUGCUGCCGAACACACACUUCGGCAACACGUUGUUCAGCCAUUCAACAGGUGAGCUUCCAACCAUUCUUGGAAAACUUCAAAGCUGAUCGACGCAGAGGCGUUCUGACCCUCUGGAAGGAAGGAAGGAAGAUCGAUAGUCAUGUGCCUGGUGGCCUUGGUGCUUGGUGUCAUGCUUGCGUCGCUUGCUGGUGAAUACGGCGCAGUGCGCGCUGCCACGGCGCAUGUCAAGGCGAAGGUUGUCGAUGGUGCAUGUUUGUACGAAGGCACAAAGAUUCCUGAUGGGGACGUAGUGCAGUUGCAGCCCGAUGUUUGCAUGGCUGUGGAGUGCUACGCAAGCGAAGGCAAUGUCCAUGUGCAUACUUGUGGCACCUCGGUGGUUGAGGGCAAGGAAUGCAAGUCAGGACGUGGACUGUAUCCCGGCUGCUGCACCAGUGAUUGCUGACGUUGCUGACCUAACCAGUGUAGGACCUUGGUGCUGAUACUGUAAUUCCAAUUCGAUAUGUAACACGAGUUCGAUGUAUUAAACUGUAGAUACAUUGAUA